GCAAGUCGAGCGCCCUUUUCGGAGGGAGCGGCGGACGGGUUAGUAACGCGUGGGAACAUACCCUUUUCUACGGAAUAGCCUCGGGAAACUGAGAGUAAUACCGUAUACGGCCUUCGGGCGAAAGAUUUAUCGGUGAAGGAUUGGCCCGCGUUAGAUUAGAUAGUUGGUGGGGUAAUGGCCUACCAAGUCUACGAUCUAUAGCUGGUUUUAGAGGAUGAUC
rnacentral:rRNA from 1 species